rnacentral:rRNA from 1 species
UACGUAGGGGGCUAGCGUUGUCCGGAAUCAUUGGGCGUAAAGCGCGUGUAGGCGGUCCGGUAAGUCCGCUGUGAAAGUCGAGGGCUCAACCCUCGAAUGCCGGUGGAUACUGUCGGGCUUGAGUACGGGAGAGGCGAGUGGAAUUCCUGGUGUAGCGGUGAAAUGCGUAGAUAUCAGGAGGAACACCGAAGGCGAAAGCAGGCGACUGGACCGUUAUUGACGCUGAGUCACGAAAGCCGGGGGAGCAAACAGG